GAUUUGGGGAAGGGAGGAGAAGCUCUCAAACCCUCACCAUCUUUGAUCCACCGUAUCUUCCUCGUUUGAGCUCCAAUUGACGAGCCGUUUGUGGCCACGCGUUCGUCUUGGGGUCCUCUUUAAUUCUAUUGAACAAAGUGAUAAGUUUCUCACCAAUUCAUUCCCAGUUCUCUGUGCCCCUUUUCUACACGAAAAUUGUUGAGGUUUUGAGUGAUUUUGAUAAUUUUGGUGGUUUAGGUGCAAACUAAAAUUGGAUAAUUAUUGGGUUGCACUCCAAUCACCAAUGGGUACGGGGUGAAUUGAGUUAUAUAUAUAUGCAUUGGGUUUGAGUUGGGAGUACUUGGAGGCUUAUUGGUGAUCAAGGCUUGUUUUGGGGCUGUUUUAAUUAAGCUUGGAGGGGUUAUAAUUUAUGUUGUGAGGCUGUUUUGGGUGAAACUAAGUGAUUGGCCAAGGGACCAAAUGUGGACUCGCAGAUCCGAGUGAGGUAACUGAAAGGAAAACUGAUGAGCGGAUAAUUUAUACGCUUUUUGGCAUUGUUUUUAGAUAAUUUCUGGCUGAAAUUGAGGGACCUGAGCAAAACUCUGAUAAAAGGCUGACAAAGGACUGCUGAUGCUGUUGGAAUCUGACCUUUCUGCACUCGAAAUGGAUUUUCUGGAGCUAUAGAACUCCAAAUGGCGCGCUCUCAAUGGCGUUGGAAAGUAGACAUCCAGAGCUUUCCCGCAAUAUAUAAUAGUUCAUACUUUAUUCGCGAUUAGACGAUGUAAACUGGCGCUCAACGCCAGUUCCAUGCUGCAUUCUCGAGUCAAACGCUAGAAACACGUCACGAACCAGAGUUGAACGCCAAAAACACGUUACAACUUGGUGUUCAACUCCAAGAUAAGCCUCAGCUCGUGUAAAGAUCAAGCUCAGCCCAAACAUACACCAAGUGGGCCACGGAAGUGGAUUUAUGCAUCAAUUACUUACUUCUGUAAACCCUAGUAGCUAGUCUAGUAUAAAUAGGACGUUUUACUAUUGUAUUAGACAUCUUUGGUCUCGGUUUUAUUUUAUUAUUCAUCUUAGGAGACUAUUGAUCACGUUUGGAGGCUGGCCAUUCAGUCAUACCUGAACCUUCAUCACUUAUGUAUUUUUAACGAUGGAGUUUCUACACACCAUAGAUUAAGGGUGUGGAGCUCUGCUGU